UACGAAGGGUGCUAGCGUUGCUCGGAAUGACUGGGCGUAAAGGGCGCGCAGGCGGCUUGGUAAGUCGGAUGUGAAAACCCGAGGCUCAACCUCGGGCGUGCAUCCGAAACUGCUCGGCUAGAGGUAGGUAGGGGAGAUCGGAAUUCCUGGUGUAGCGGUGAAAUGCGCAGAUAUCAGGAGGAACACCGGUGGCGAAGGCGGAUCUCUGGGCCUUACCUGACGCUCAGGCGCGAAAGCUAGGGGAGCGAACUGG
rnacentral:rRNA from 1 species